rnacentral:rRNA from 1 species
AUUGAACGCUGGCGGCAGGCCUAACACAUGCAAGUCGAACGGUAGCACAGAGAGCUUACUCUCGGGUGACGAGUGGCGGACGGGUGAGUAAUGUCUGGGAAACUGCCCGAUGGAGGGGGAUAACUACUGGAAACGGUAGCUAAUACCGCAUAACGUCUUCGGACCAAAGUGGGGGACCUUCGGGCCUCACACCAUCGGAUGUGCCCAGAUGGGAUUAGCUAGUAGGUGGGGUAAUGGCUCACCUAGGCGACGAUCCCUAGCUGGUCUGAGAGGAUGACCAGCCACACUGGAACUGAGACACGGUCCAGACUCCUACGGGAGGCAGCAGUGGGGAAUAUUGCACAAUGGGCGCAAGCCUGAUGCAGCCAUGCCGCGUGUAUGAAGAAGGCCUUCGGGUUGUAAAGUACUUUCAGCGGGGAGGAAGGCGAUGUGGUUAAUAACCGCAUCGAUUGACGUUACCCGCAGAAGAAGCACCGGCUAACUCCGUGCCAGCAGCCGCCGUAA